UACGGAGGGUGCAAGCGUUGUCCGGAUUUAUUGGGUUUAAAGGGUGCGUAGGCGGCUGUUUAAGUCAGCGGUGAACGUUUUGGGCUCAACCCAGAAAUUGCCAUUGAUACGGGACAGCUUGAGUAUUGGAGGGGUACAUGGAAUUGAUGGUGUAGCGGUGAAAUGCAUAGAUACCAGCAGGAACACCGAUAGCGAAGGCAUUGUACUGGCCAAUAACUGACGCUGAGGCACGAAAGCAUGGGUAGCGAACAGG
rnacentral:rRNA from 1 species